UACGAAGGGGGCUAGCGUUGCUCGGAAUCACUGGGCGUAAAGCGCACGUAGGCGGAUUCUUAAGUCAGGGGUGAAAUCCUGGAGCUCAACUCCAGAACUGCCUUUGAUACUGAGGGUCUUGAGUUCGGGAGAGGUGAGUGGAACUGCGAGUGUAGAGGUGAAAUUCGUAGAUAUUCGCAAGAACACCAGUGGCGAAGGCGGCUCACUGGCCCGAUACUGACGCUGAGGCGCGAAAGCGUGGGGAGCAAACAGGG
rnacentral:rRNA from 1 species